rnacentral:rRNA from 1 species
GAUGAACGCUGGCGGCGUGCCUAAUACAUGCAAGUCGAGCGAACAGACGAGGAGCUUGCUCCUCUGACGUUAGCGGCGGACGGGUGAGUAACACGUGGAUAACCUACCUAUAAGACUGGGAUAACUUCGGGAAACCGGAGCUAAUACCGGAUAAUAUAUUGAACCGCAUGGUUCAAUAGUGAAAGACGGUUUUGCUGUCACUUAUAGAUGGAUCCGCGCCGCAUUAGCUAGUUGGUAAGGUAACGGCUUACCAAGGCAACGAUGCGUAGCCGACCUGAGAGGGUGAUCGGCCAAACUGGAACUGAGACACGGUCCAGACUCCUACGGGAGGCAGAAGUAGGGAAUCUUCCGAAAUGGGCGAAAGCCUGACGGAGCAACGCCGCGUGAGUGAUGAAGGUCUUCGGAUCGUAAAACUCUGUUAUUAGGGAAGAACAAAUGUGUAAGUAACUAUGCACGUCUUGACGGUACCUAAUCAGAAAGCCACGGCUAACUACGU